AGCUGCCUCUCCCGCCGAGUUGGAGACGGAUGGGCUGGGACGGGUUUUGGGGGGGUGUCCCCAAUUCUGACUGGGAGUGGAGGAACCCCUCCUGAGAUCUCUUGUGGGGGUGCCCCCUCCCCAGGGCACUCCCCAGUCCCUGAGCCAGCCGAGAGGAAGGAGGCCAGCGAUGCGACUGGGGCGGCUCCUUUCUCCUGCACCCCAAAUGUGAGGGAUGCACCCUAAAUUUUGCUCUUUUCAAAAUAGGGGACCAGGAUCUCAGGGGAGAGUAGCUGAGGCCUUGCUCGGAGUCCCAGGAGAUCCACAGGUCCGGCAUGAACAGUGAGAGGUCAGAGGUGGAAGGCUCAGCAGGAGAGGAGAGGAGGAUCAGCAGAGGUCAUGAGAAGGCCAGAAUCCAGGGUCAGGCUGUCUGGAACAGGAAGUAAAAUGGGCCGAGAUGGAGCGAGCCCCCAGUGUGCUUCCAAGGCCACUCCCACCUCCCUGAAACACCCUGCUACGUACUGAUCCAAUGCCCUGCGCUGUGUAUGAGAGCACCUUCUCUUCUGAAACCCCUAUACAAGGGAGGGGCCCCUGCGGAGACCGUGCCCUGCCAUCCAGUCCUCAAGGGGAUUCUAAAAAACUAGUGACAAAGUAGGGAAGCAGCUGAGCUGGAAAGGAGUUCUGAGGACGAUGGAACCUUGGGUAAGGAGGAAGAAGGCUGCCCACCCGCCCUUUUCUGGCAGCCACCCUCCCUCACACUGUCCGUUCCUUGAUGACACAGCUGAUGUGAUUAAGAUCGUCCCCAAAUCGCUUCA
rnacentral:lncRNA from 10 species